AAGAAAGGUAUCCACCAAGUGCUAAGGUCAAGCAGUGAAAUACUUGCUCAUAGUCUAUGUCUGGACCUUGGAAGCCAAUUUAAAAGGGAGGAUGGACUCUUGGGUCAGUCCAAGUAGAGAAGAGAACAGAGAGCCUAGUUUUGGCAAGGUUUACUGAGUCACCAAAGGGCCUGAUGGGCUGAGAGGGAGAGAGGGAGCUGCACCAUUCUGAACUGCAAACUCUGCCCUUGGAUGGGGAAGUGGGUCAAGGCGAGAUUUUCACGUGUACUGGGUUUUCAGAUCCCCACCAUGGUGGUGAGAAGAAGCUGCUUCCCCUACAUAUGCACUGUGGGAACCCUAGGAUCUAUGAUAAUACUCAGCUGUUCAAUGACUGAGGACUUCUGCUUUGACAGCUGCUGCAUGUGGUGGGCCUUGAUUGUUGACUUUGCUCCAUGUGGCCAGAAGGGCCAGGUGAGCAUGGAGUGGGUGAGACGUGACUCAUUGCAGGUUUUGGUUAGAGUAAAAGGGAAAGAAAAACAUUUGCUUCCCAGUUCAAAUGUCUUAAUUUAAGCCACAGGUAAGUGUUUCCAUGGAGUCAGCUACCAGAUGAGAGUUCUGAAGGGGUAUGCCAGGGCCCAGAACACGAAAGAACACCACCAUACAGACACAGAAUAUUAGGUUAUCAUUUUUUUAUGACAAAACAGACAGGAAGUACAAGCUGCUGUUCUAUCUUCAUCUGAGAGAGGAAAGAAGAAAAACAAAGAGAAAUAAUGAACAAGCUUAGAAAUCAUAACUACACUUACAUGUGGGAUAGGCAAUUUUACCAUCAGUAUUAGACAUUUCAGAUCUGAGGACCAGAAGCCAAGAAUAACCACCAGUUUUCACAAAUUGGCCCAAAAACUGCAUAGUGCAAUGACUUGAUUUGCUCCAAUUAUGCUAGAAACAUCUGAGGAUGGCUUUAUCAUACACAAUCCUUUGCACUAAUGUAGAUAUUUCUCACUAUGAGGUUAUGAACAAGGGGAGAAUUUGAAAAGGGGGGUAAGUUACACAUUCAUACCUUCAUUGCGUGGGCUCAUUACUAAAUGGAUGGAUGGAUGGAUGGAUGGAUGGAUGGAUGGAUGGAUGGAUGAGUGGAUGAGUGAAUGUGUGGAUGGGUGGAUGGAUGGAUGGAUGAGUGGAUGGGUAGAUGGGUGGAUGGAUGGAUGGAUGAGUGGAUGGGUAGAUGGGUGGAUGGAUGGAUGGAUGAGUGGAUGGGUAGAUGGGUGGAUGGAUGGGUGGGUGGAUGGAUGGAUGGAUGGAUGGAUGGAUGGAUGGAUAGAUGGAUGGAUAUAUGAGUGAAUGGGUAGAUGGAUGGAUGGAUGGAUGGAUGGAUGGAUGGAUGGAUGGAUGAGUGGAUGGGUAGAUGGGUAGAUGGAUGGGUGGAUGGGUAGAUAGGUGGGUGGAUGGAUGGAUGGAUGGAUGGGAAGGUGGGUUAGUGGGUGGUUUGCUGUGAAGUAUGAACUUUAGAGUACAUAAAUUUUAGAAUGAAAUUAAAAGCUUCCAAGGUAGGGUGGCUCAGGAGAGCUUUCUGGGGGCCAUUUGGUGAGAGAAUAGAAAGCAGACUUGAGAGUCAUAAUCUCGGCCUAGAACAGGAGAUUAGAAAUCCUAUGAAAAUUUCUAACACUCUAUAUCAGUGAAGCCACUUACUUUUUGUUCCAUUUAUACUACAUCAGGAGAAUUCAAGACAGUGUCUUUGAGGGCUGAGAGAUCCAUAGACUCUGCUUCAGGAUCUCUGAGGCUAGAGAGUCAUAUGGUAUCUAUAAUCCUCUUGCCAUAAUAAUUCAUUAACAUGGGGGCAUUCUUCACCUCUGUUGAUCUUAAUUUGGGGCCCACAGCCAUGGAUAGAAAUCACAGGUUCUGAGACUGAGAAAUAAAAAAAAAAUUACACCUUAAUUUCAUUAGCUUGUAAUUAAAAUGUGGCAUUUCUCUCCAUUGUGAAAAUAGACAUCUACAUCCUUACCACCCUGAAUCCACCCAAUCUCGUCUGAUUUCAAAAGCUAAAAAGGGUCAGUCCCAGUUAGUAUUUGGAUGAGAGCCAGCCCGGGAAUAUUGGGUGCUGUAGGCUUUAAAAAAAGAUAGAUAGAUACAUAGAUACAUAGAUACAUAGAUACAUAGAUACAUAAAUAGAAAUUUUAAAAAGAAAAUAGGCAACAAGUCAUAGUCACGGUAUAAGUACCUAUGACUUUGUCAUCAAUAGAAACAUCAAAUAUUUUCAUAUCAGGUCACAUUAAGGUCCUGUAUCUCAAAAUAUCAUUUGUACUCAUUGCUACUUUGAAAUUACUAUAGUUCUUAGGCCCACAGCUAGAUCUUGUCAUUUAAUAGCUUAAAAAAAGAAACGUGUGUAUUACUAUAUCACAAAUUUAUUCUUUUUCCUAACAGUAUCUCAAUAAGAAUUGAUUUCCUUUGUAAUCCUAUGUAUAUUUUAUUUUGCACAUUUAAAACAUUAUUCUGAGGAGGAAUCCAUGAGCUUCAUUAGACUAACAAGUCCAUGGCUCAAAAAUGUUAGAAUGGGAGCUGCCUCUUUCAAUUGUCCCCGCUGUCCCUGCAUAGACAUUGCCCUGAAUUCUCAUGAAGGGAUAGGCAGAUUUUUCAUGACAUUUCCAGGAAGCAGCCCAAACCAUCAAGUCAGGGGACUGUCAGCAAGCUGUUUUAUCCAUUAGGAACCAUAGAAACAGGGCCCAGGGCCAAUGAGCUUGAACAAUGCUGUCUACAAACAUGCUUGAGACAGACCUAGGGGGAAAAAUUAUUUGCUCCUACCUAAAAAUAAAGCUACAGAUGUGAAAUCAAUAAAUGUCUAAUUAAACAUUCUACCAAAUAUGUCAAACUCAUCUGUCAUUAAAUUUAAUAUUCAUAAAUAUUUUUGCAUAAAAAAAUGACAUGUCAGAUUUUCUCACUUUGCAAGAAGCCUCAAGUAAACAUGAUUAUGAAGAAAGACUAUAAAGAUUAAAAGUUACUCAUAGCCAAAUAUUUUCAGAGGCAGAAUUAUAAAAAUAUGCCCAAUAUUUUAUGGGAAGAAGAAUCUAUUUAUGUGAUGUGGAAUGCCUGCAUUUUAAUAUGUUUGAUGGGGUGUAAGGUGGGCUUCAAAACAAGAUGGGAAGGGGGUUAAGUCUUCCUAGGUUGCAAAACCAUGACGACUAUAAGUUGUGACUUGUCCUCUCGGCUCCCGUGAGGAGCACAGCCUCAGAGUUUAGGACUUGGGAAGACUUCCAGCAUUGACAUCCCUUUCCCCUUCCUCCCAUGGGCUUCCCAAUCCUCCCGCUGCCCUCUCUAAGCCCUCACUUUCAGCCUCACUGCCCUCUCCUGGGCAUCUCACUCUCUGAAAAAAGUAAAGAAGACCCAGUUUAGUGAAAAAAGCCGGGCAUGGUGGCUCGCUCCUGUAAUCCCAGCACUUCGGGAGGCCGAGGUGGGAAGAUCGCUUGAGCCCAGGAGUUCAAGACCUGUCUGGGGAACAUAGCGAGAUCCCAUCUCUACAUAUCAAAAAUUAAAAAUUAAAAGAAAUGAAGAAAAAAAUUGAAAAAUAUUUGAAAUUUGAUACAUUUAUUUAAAGGCACCAAAGACAGGGAAAAAUCAAAACGUUGAUGUUCUUCCUCACGCUUACACUAAAAUGUAAGAUCUGUGCAAACAAAAUUGUCCCAAAGCCUAGAUUUGGAAAGAACUUCUU
rnacentral:lncRNA from 10 species